UGUAGUGGGGCGCGGGCUCUUUUAUGAAGGCAUUAGCACGGGGAGCGGCGGGCCUCGGCGGAUGGGGACAGAACGUUUGUGCUUAUUUCUGCGGGGCCGGAGGAUGCCGGUGGCGCAGCUGGUGACAGUCCCGGGUGUGGCCAAAAGCAGGCACGCCCCUCACUGGGAGCUGCUGCGUCGGGGUUAGUUAUGGAGACGAAGGUGCAGCGCGUCCUGCCCAAGUGCACGGCCACUGAAUUGCAGCCCCCGACCCUGGAUGGAGCCAGCUGCGUCGGGGACAGAGCGCACGCGGACGGCGGCGGCGGCCAGUCGCCAACGACGGGUGACCCUUCCCUGGGGCGCCCCAAGCUCAGCGCUCGACACCCCCACCGACGCGCGACACGCGGAGCGAGGCAUCCCGGGGAGGGCCGUUCACCAGCGCAGGGGGCCCCGGAGCGCCCACCUGAGCUCCGUCCCCAUGCGGCGGCACCCAAGCCCGGCCACCGCUGACCCCGAGAGCCCCAGCCCGGAGCCACCGUACCGCCCGCCUGCGCCACGUGGAGCUGCCGAGCCGCCGCGCCCGCGGCCUGGAAGAAUUUCCCGUCUCCCUCGGUUACCCGCUGCAGCAACCGCGGAAAAGCGCGGGGCCAGAAAGACAACCGAAUUUCACCACCUGGGUAGAUGUCCUCCGGCUUCUUCCCAGCGGCGAGCGGGCGCGCACACGCACUCACACUAAUACACGUGUUCACGCACCCGUGCACACUCACAUAUCCACGCGCGCGCGCGCACACACCCCGCCUUCCCCUCGUCGUAGGAAGACACCCACACCCGGUCCACGCGCUCCCCUAGGUCCCGCCGGGCAGGGGCGACAGCGAGGCCCGUGCUGUGGCCCCAACACCGCCCCGCCCAGAGGUGGGCAGCUCCCGCCUUCGGGGUCACCUCCCUUCCCCCUUCCGUCACCUGAGGCCCUACCGGGGGCGGAGGGAGCGCUCUCCGGGCUGCAAACCGACCGUGGGGUCACCGUGGAGGCGGGGUGGGCAUCCUCCUUUUCCUCUCGCACCUCCCAGCGGCGGUGCUGAAGGGAACAUGAAGAUACACGUCUGUGACUCACCCCACCUGGGAGACACCGAGUGCUCAGGACGACGCAGGUCGGGUGCUGCGCCCCAGACCCCGUGUGCAGGUCAGCGUUCCAAACCUGGGUCACCAUGGUCCACCUCCUGAUCACAUCGUUGGGAACCAAGUGCCGUCAGAGCAAAGAGCCAUAACACGCGGGGACCCGGGAGGAUUCCCGGAGCCCAGAAUGAGAGAUUUGCAAGUAAAAAAGUGCAAAAGCGGGGGCCACGCACAAAGCCGUCCCAGCGCCACCACCCUCGGCGAGGCCCACACGCGCAUCGCUCACUCCCAUCCCGGAGCUCAGCUUCUAGCUUCCGGGUCUCAUUUCCCCUUUACUCUGUUUGUCAGCGUUAGGUCGGAUAAAUAAAGUCUCUUGGUAGA